GACUGGUUGGCGCAAUGGUAGCGCACUCGUUUCCGGUAUAGGACGUACGAGAGGCUGCAGGUUCGAGUCCUGCAUCAGUCG
rnacentral:tRNA from 1 species